UACGUAGGGUGCGAGCGUUGUCCGGAAUUACUGGGCGUAAAGAGCUCGUAGGUGGUUUGUCGCGUUGUCCGUGAAAACUCACAACUCAAUUGUGGGCGUGCGGGCGAUACGGGCAGACUGGAGUACUGCAGGGGAGACUGGAAUUCCUGGUGUAGCGGUGGAAUGCGCAGAUAUCAGGAGGAACACCGGUGGCGAAGGCGGUUCUCUGGGCAUGUCCUGACGCUGAGGAGCGAAGGUGUGGGGAGCGAACAGG
rnacentral:rRNA from 1 species